rnacentral:rRNA from 1 species
GAUGAACGCUGGCGGCGUGCCUAAUACAUGCAAGUCGAGCGAACAGAUGAGGAGCUUGCUCCUCUGACGUUAGCGGCGGACGGGUGAGUAACACGUGGAUAACCUACCUAUAAGACUGGGAUAACUUCGGGAAACCGGAGCUAAUACCGGAUAAUAUAUUGAACCGCAUGGUUCAAUAGUGAAAGACGGUUUUGCUGUCACUUAUAGAUGGAUCCGCGCCGCAUUAGCUAGUUGGUAAGGUAACGGCUUACCAAGGCAACGACGCGUAGCCGACCUGAGAGGGUGAUCGGCCACACGGGAACUGAGACACGGUCCAGACUCCUACGGGAGGCAGCAGUAGGGAAUCUUCCGCAAUGGGCGAAAGCCUGACGGAGCAACGCCGCGUGAAUGAUGAAGGUCUUCGGAUCGUAAAACUCUGUUAUUAGGGAAGAACAAAUGUGUAAGUAACUAUGCACGUCUUGACGGUACCUAAUCAGAAAGCCACGGCUAACUACGUG